rfam:Salmo salar isolate Sally breed double haploid chromosome ssa22, whole genome shotgun sequence.
UAAGAUCUUAACUGUAAGCCGCUCUAGAUAAGAGCGUCUGCUAAAUGACUAAAA